rnacentral:rRNA from 1 species
GACGAACGCUGGCGGUGUGCUUAACACAUGCAAGUCGAACGGAAAGGCCCUGCUUUUGUGGGGUGCUCGAGUGGCGAACGGGUGAGUAACACGUGAGUAACCUGCCCUUGACUUUGGGAUAACUUCAGGAAACUGGGGCUAAUACCGGAUAGGAGCUCCUGCUGCAUGGUGGGGGUUGGAAAGUUUCGGCGGUUGGGGAUGGACUCGCGGCUUAUCAGCUUGUUGGUGGGGUAGUGGCUUACCAAGGCUUUGACGGGUAGCCGGCCUGAGAGGGUGACCGGCCACAUUGGGACUGAGAUACGGCCCAGACUCCUACGGGAGGCAGCAGUGGGGAAUAUUGCACAAUGGGCGGAAGCCUGAUGCAGCAACGCCGCGUGUGGGAUGACGGCCUUCGGGUUGUAAACCGCUUUCGCCUGUGACGAAGCGUGAGUGACGGUAAUGGGUAAAGAAGCACCGGCUAACUACGUG